rnacentral:rRNA from 1 species
GAUGAACGCUGGCGGCGUGCCUAAUACAUGCAAGUCGAACGAGAGGAAGGAAAGCUUGCUUUUCUGAAUCUAGUGGCGAACGGGUGAGUAACACGUAGGUAACCUGCCCAUGUGCCCGGGAUAACUUCUGGAAACGGAUGCUAAAACCGGAUAGGUAGCAGACAAGCAUUUGACUGCUAUUAAAGUGGCUAAGGCCAUGAACAUGGAUGGACCUGCGGUGCAUUAGCUAGUUGGUGAGGUAACGGCCCACCAAGGCGACGAUGCAUAGCCGGCCUGAGAGGGCGGACGGCCACAUUGGGACUGAGACACGGCCCAAACUCCUACGGGAGGCAGCAGUAGGGAAUUUUCGUCAAUGGGGGGAACCCUGAACGAGCAAUGCCGCGUGAGUGAGGAAGGUCUUCGGAUCGUAAAGCUCUGUUGUAAGAGAAAAACGACAUUCAUAGGGAAUGAUGAGUGAGUGAUGGUAUCUUACCAGAAAGUCACGGCUAACUACGUGCCAGCAGCCGCAGUAAAAC